AUGCUUGCUGCAGCACUACAUUUACUAAAAUAGGAAUGAUAGUGGUUAGUGAUAGAGGUUAGCUUGGUCCCUGUGCAAGGAUUACACUCAAAUUCAUGAAGCAUUCCACUCCAUU
rnacentral:snRNA from 1 species